AAGGAGGAAGCACCUCCAGAAUUGGGCAGAGUUGAAAUUAUGUUAGAAUAUCCAAAUAUUAAUGUGCAGGAGCUAAUAAAGCUGAGGACUAGUUUCCUCAAAUAUUGGAAAACAGGAACUAUUGAAUUAUAAAACAGAUGAAAAAUGAGUAGCUACUUUUGAGGCCUAAUUAGUAUCUUACAUCAUGAAAACAUUGAUUAUUUUUACUUUCCCUCUAGUGCUUUUGUCCAUAUGCUCUCUACUUUGUGACCCUAAUCCAGAUGACCCUUUAGUACCAGAUAUUGCACAAAUCUACAAGUCAGACAAGGAAAAAUAUAACAGACAUGCAAGAGAAUGGACACAGAAAUAUGCAAUGUAAACUUUGAAGACAUUUUCUUAUAUACCAGAGUACUGUAAAUUUUAGGGUUUUUCAAAAUUAGAAGUAAAUGGAGCACAGUUUACUGUUUUCGGUGUACCAUGAAGCCCUUUUUGAUUUUUACCCAUAUAAGUGUGUUUCUGGAACAAGGAAAUUAACUACAGAAAUUAACCUGAAGACUGUGACGAGAGUAUUUAUCCUUUCUGUAUGCUUUGCAAAAGACAUUUAUUAUGUUUUUUAAAGAUACUUGGACAUCUGCAUCUCCAGCCUACAAGAUUCAUAGUGCAGUUGUAGAGCAACCAAACUAUUUUUGCUGAAAACUAGGUGGUACAUAAUAAAUAUUCUGUGUCUUUGAGAUGUCAGUCUUGUAAGUCUGUUUGAAUGUCAUUCUUUGUUAGCUCAUUGUAUAAUUUGUAUUUUUUUACUGUAUAGACUAUAUUUUAUUUACCAUAUAUUUCAACUCAUUUUAGACUUUCUGCACAGUAUUGAAAAAUACAACUGCUACUAAAUGAGUGAACUAUUCCUUCCCAAAGGAAUAUUCUAUAAACUGAUAGACUUCUAAAAACAAACUUUGCACUCUAAUCUUCAGUAUGCUGAUUAUGGGGAAACACAUGGUUUUGAUUUUGUUGCAUUCUUUUAUUGCAAUGUGAACUAAUUGCACUGCUCUGUAGAAAGAAAUGUAACUAAUUUUGUUCUAUUCACAGCUGACUUUUUAUCCCAUAUGGGCAAUAUAAUCUCUGACAUGUUAACAAGAUUGACUUGAAGCUUUUCCGUAUAAAUAAAACAUGUUUUUUACUACUUGUCUUGGCUGUUCUUUAAAUCUAGCACAUUCUUUACAUGUGCAUGCUCUGAAAAGAUCAAAAUAUUGUUCAAUAUAUAAAGUAUCAUGGGAAUAACUGACCCGUGUGCUUGAAAAUGCUCCUGAGAGCAUUAUUGUAGCUUUUAAACAAAUUACUUACUCAUUGUAUUCUAUUGAUCUAAGCGGAUCGAACUUUUAUCCAGUAUAAACAAAUGUACCUUCAAGCUUGCAAAGUAGUUUGGAAAAUGUGCUUAUGAUGAAAACAGUUGAUUUUAGAAAAUCACAAACGCUUCUUCCCCCAGCUGUAUAACAAUAUUUUGAUCUGAUAUUUCUACACACAAACUAAUGCUAAAGCCAGUAUGUGUAUACUGCAUGUUUGGGGAAAAACAGCCUUUGGUUCCUUACAGAUAAGUGCAUUAUUUUUGUAAUGUAGAUUUUGUGGUACUAAACCAGUAUGAAAUGCAUUUUAAUUUGUAGCUGAAAUAAUUCUUUAAAAAACAACAAUUUAGCUAGAAGAUUUUGCUGCCAUAAAAGUUAACCCUUUUUUAUCUUAGUGCUUUGGGAGCCAAAAAAUAUUCAAACAAAAACCCAUAAUUGGAAUGCAUCAAAAUGUGGCAAACAUCCCAGAGGCUAUUUUUCUAUUUACUUGCUUUACUCAUAAUCUUUUUAGCAUUUUAAUCUCCACAUUUUUGCAUCAUGCUAAUUGCCUUUGAAAAAGUCUUUACUGAGCAUUUUAUGCAUAAUAAUCAGCUAGGCUUCAGAGGUUUUUUGUCUGUUUUGUUUUACCUCAGUACAAUCUAAAGAUGGAAGCUUUAUAAGAUAGCACUGAAACUUCAUUGCAUUAGUGUCAUUGCUUACUGUGAAACAGGCCAUCUCUGCAAAUAGCCAAAACAUGUUUCCAUGCAGUAAAAUGAAUCCUUCGUUAUACUUGAAAAAAAAAAGGGAUGCCAUUGCUUGUGAAACUAUUAACAUUGUCAUCAGCAUUUAAAAGUGGUGGUAAAAAGAUCCUGACUUUCCACAUUUUAUCUGUAUUAAAUGUUUAAUCGGUUUGUCCCAGAAUAUCCCAUAUCUCUUCUUAUUAAUAAUAGGCUCUGUGAAAUUUGGUAGUUUGAUUUGCAUGGCUGUCAAGUGAAAAGAGUGUUUAAUCUGCUUUACUGAAAUUAUAUGAAAGAUGGUUUGAAAUUAUUUAGAUGUUGUUAUGCUUUGAAGUAUACUUAAUCGGAGGAAUUUACUAACCAUAAUGCAAAAUCUUCAGGCUGAGCAAAAGGUGCAAAUAAGGUUGCCCCUUAAUCUUCAUGGGAUUGUAUGAAGUAUCAUUUAAGUACCACAAAUGUCUUCAGUUGACAUUUAAAACUGAAGUUCAGAGGCUGGGUUCACCAACUGAACUUCCAGACUAACCUUAAUAACAGUAACAUCUUUUAAGCAGAUACGGACCAGAGAUUCAGUUAACUAAAAGGUGUUAAGAAUUCUCUGUAAUAUUUUUUUUUGCAUUUUCUGGAAAUUGGUCAUUUUUUGUUUUGUUUUUAAGUGAAUCAUGAUGGUUGGUUUUAAUCACCCACCCACCCCCAUCUCAAUAUUUGCUCAGUCCUGGUGCAUCCAUUAUGGUGGCAUAAAUGUGUCUGAACUUCAGUCCCUCCACCAAAUGCCAGUUUAUACUGUACAGUGCCUUAGCGAGGGCACUAACUGAGCCAUCCCAUUUUCUGUAUAAUCCUCACUUGGCAUUAUUGGUAUGACUAAAGCAAAGGAUCUCUUAUCAGUGAAAUUCUUAAAAUGUUAAAUCUUUAGUCAUUCUAGUUAAUGUUAAACAAGGCGUGCUUUCUAGCUACUUCUGAUGUGGUGUUUUUCUGCCUGAAGAUGUCAGCUGAGGCUUGAAUGAAAAUAAAAUUUUGAUUUGAA